GCUAGUAAUCGUAGGUCAGCAUACUACGGUGAAUACGUUCCCGGGCCUUGUACACACCGCCCGUCAAACCAUGAGAGUUGGCAACACCCGAAGUCGGUAGUCUAACCGCAAGGAGGACGCCGCCGAAGGUGGGGUUAAUGAUUAGGGUUAAGUCGUAACAAGGUAAC
rnacentral:rRNA from 1 species